ACAACAGAUGGCCUCAACGAACCAUCAGAUUGUUCCCCUGGUGAACGCAAAAGUAACUCAAAGACCCACUUCCAGCAUCACCCAGAGAGGAGGCCUGCAGGUUCUCAAACACUCAGCAGGUCUGCGCUGAGGGGUCCUCGCGGGCCACAUGCAGGACAGGCAGGCAAAGUGGCCUUUCCCCGUGUGAUCAGACGCCGUCCCCUCCUCUCUGGACUACAUCUACCACCAUGACCCUGCUGCUAAACCACCAUGAGGGGGCGCUGCUGUUGGAUGGACUGUUCUGAAGGCAGGAAGGGGUUCCUGUUUGUUCACAGGCAGCGACUCUGGGCGUGACUGGAUGGAGGACGUCCUGAGGUCCCCGGCACUUCACUGGCCUCAUCAUUAGACAGGCUGGCUCCUGCGGCCUCCGGCGGAGUGCUGUCUGCACACCCUAAUGACCACCGACUCACUCAGCACGCAGCAUCGCCACAUUAGCCCAGCCCACAACGGCCCCCAAAUAAAGAAAGAUGAGAGGGAAGCGGGGACGGUCGGCGCCCCCACAGGCUUGAAAGUGAGCGAUGUGUGUCACUGAAGACGCCGGCUGUCGGACUGGAUGCAGCUGAUCCACGCACACACACAACAGGACGUGACGGCGUGAGAGCCAGAGAGCAAAGAUCAGCCUGCACAGAGACGAGGCGCUGAAGCACAGCAAUCGUUUAGUCUUACACACACAUUAAAUCCAAUCUGUCUGGACCAGAACCCUAAUCCCCUCUCCACGGCCAUGCAGACAGCAGACAGUAAUCCUCCAUAUUUGUGUAUUAAUAGAAACAGCCUCCGAGGGGCCUCUCUAUAUGUUGUGAUGUAUGUUUUAUUAGUUGGUUAAUCUGCUUGUUUAUCAGAGGGCUGGUCCGCUCGAACAUGGGUUUUAAUAAAACACGGGCAGCCUUGACUGAGGGAUAAGCUCCCCAAGGACGGCAGGCUCCAAUAGACUCAUCAUCUACAAUAAACAGCUUUACAUCAACAUUAUCUGUCACGGGACAAUGCAAUUAUCAGGUGGAAUUCAGGCCCCCCGAACAACACGAGGGCCGGAUAAAGCUUAACCUAAAUAUGAGCCUGCUACCUUGGUGCUGGGACACGUGCUUCAUUCACCUCUGUGGGCAUUUCUGAGGGCGUGCUUCACAAUCUCUGAAUCUCCUAAGUGCUCUCGUGGACCGGCGGAGGAAUGACGGGCGCAGAGGUGAGAUUCCUUCCCAUCUGAAUCACGUCAGCUCACCUCUCGGCUCGUCUAGACGCUGUGUCACUGCCACACCCCGCUGGACAUCUGUCCUGAUUCAAUAGAUCUGCCAGACAGCCGUUCGAUUAGAAGGGCACCGUUUUAAAUUAGCUGUAGAGUCGGGAGUGAUGGAGAGGCUGGAAAGCUGAGGAGACAAUGUCUCUCAACAACGUGCCAGCCAGCAAAAGCAGUUCCAGAUAUGACUUUUUCCAUGGAGGCAUCUCAUUCAUACGGUUCUGUCUUUGAAACACUGAACUCCAGCCGCUGAGCUUACAGACCCACUCCAAUCUUCUUCUGUAGGCCUGGACAAUACGUCACAAAUUUAUCACCAUGGAAAUAUCCAGCACAUUCUCACUCCCAAGUCAUCGCAUUUUGGUUAAAGACCCUUCCACGUCACUUUUUGACGUUUUGGGUGUCCCCAACUCAUCGUUUUUUGAUGUACUGACUGUUCCCAUUAAACCUCUGGGCUGAAAACCAGAAUCGGUCCAGUACCCUAACCCAACCAGUGCCGGACCCGACCCGGUACCAGACGUGGUACUGGGUGUGGUACAGAGAGCGAACCGGACGUGGUACCAGCCGCGAACAAGUACCGAUUUAGGUUCCAGUACUGGGU